rnacentral:rRNA from 1 species
AUUGAACGCUGGCGGCAUGCCUUACACAUGCAAGUCGAACGGUAACAGGUCUUCGGACGCUGACGAGUGGCGAACGGGUGAGUAAUACAUCGGAACGUGCCCAGUCGUGGGGGAUAACUACUCGAAAGAGUAGCUAAUACCGCAUACGACCUGAGGAUGAAAGCGGGGGACCUUCGGGCCUCGCGCGAUUGGAGCGGCCGAUGGCAGAUUAGGGAGUUGGUGGGAUAAAAGCUUACCAAGCCGACGAUCUGUAGCUGGUCUGAGAGGACGACCAGCCACACUGGGACUGAGACACGGCCCAGACUCCUACGGGAGGCAGCAGUGGGGAAUUUUGGACAAUGGGCGAAAGCCUGAUCCAGCAAUGCCGCGUGCAGGAUGAAGGCCUUCGGGUUGUAAACUGCUUUUGUACGGAACGAAAAAGCUCCUUCUAAUACAGGGGGCCCAUGACGGUACCGUAAGAAUAAGCACCGGCUAACUACGUGCCAGCCGCCGCUGUAA